rnacentral:rRNA from 1 species
UGGGGAAUCUUCCGCAAUGGACGAAAGUCUGACGGAGCAACGCCGCGUGUAUGAUGAAGGUCUUCGGAUUGUAAAGUACUGUCAUUGGGGAAGAACGGUUUUCUUGAAAAGAUUGAGAAGACAUGACGGUACCCAAGGAGGAAGCCCCGGCUAACUACGUGCCAGCAGCCGCGGUAAUACGUAGGGGGCAAGCGUUGUCCGGAAUUAUUGGGCGUAAAGGGCGCGUAGGCGGGCCUUUAAGUCCGGUGUGAAAGAUCAGGGCUCAACCCUGAGAGUGCAUCGGAAACUGGAGGCCUUGAGGACAGGAGAGGAAAGUGGAAUUCCACGUGUAGCGGUGAAAUGCGUAGAUAUGUGGAGGAACACCAGUGGCGAAGGCGACUUUCUGGACUGUAACUGACGCUGAGGCGCGAAAGCGUGGGGAGCAAACAGGAUUAGAUACCCUGGUAGUCCACGCCGUAAACGAUGAGUGCUAGGUGUAGAGGGUAUCGACCCCUUCUGUGCCGCAGUUAACACAAUAAGCACUCCGCCUGGGGAGUACGGCCGCAAGGUUGAAACUUAAAUGAAUUG